UAAUUUUUGACUUGGUCAAAAUUAUGACCUUACUCUAUCUAUCUUUUAGUGAACUCGUCUUAUGACUUUUUAAUUUUGAUUUAGUCUUUGUAAGAAUCUCUUCUAGAUAAAGGUGUCAAAACAUGGGUAAGACUUCCCAUUCGAAUAAAGUACUGAUUCCUUUCACUAACAUAGCUGAAAUCUCGAUCAUAUUGCCAUGGAUUACCUAGCAGCAUGUGCCCUUGUUGCAUGGGAACCAC
rnacentral:lncRNA from 1 species